UCCAAGCAUUGACCCAACCUGUCCAGCAAGACUUGCAAGAGUGCUGAAACGAAUGCACUCAACACGAAGGCCACCAUUAUGAUUUCUUUUUGAGUUGUGACACUGACAUUCAAUACUUUCACAGAAAACACCAAGCGGAGAUCCAAACAAAGUAAGUAACUUGCAAUAACAUGUGCUCCCAGCUUAACCUUUAGUUCUGUGCAUGUCAAAACACAAAAG